rnacentral:rRNA from 1 species
AGAGUUUGAUCCUGGCUCAGGAUGAACGCUGACAGAAUGCUUAACACAUGCAAGUCGAUGGGGAAGUGGUGCUUGCACCAUGGUAACCAUGGCGGACGGGUGAGUAACGCGUAAGGAACUUGCCUGCGGGACCGGGAUAACAGCAGGAAACUGCUGACAAGACCGGAUAAGGUCAUUAAGCGGCAUGGUUUAAUGAUGAAAGGAGACGCCUGCGGAGAGCCUUGCGUCCUAUUAGCUAGUUGGAGGGGUAACGGCCCACCAAGGCGAAGAUAGGUAGCCGGCCUGAGAGGGUGGACGGCCACAAGGGGACUGAGAUACGGCCCUUACUCCUACGGGAGGCAGCAGUGGGGAAUAUUGGACAAUGGGGGCAACCCUGAUCCAGCAAUUCUGUGUGCACGAAGACGGUUUUCGGAUUGUAAAGUGCUUUCAGCAGGGAAGAAGGAAGUGACGGUACCUGCAGAAGAAGCGACGGCUAAAUACGUG